UACGUAGGGGGCAAGCGUUGUCCGGAUUUAUUGGGCGUAAAGAGCGUGUAGGCGGCCAUACAGGUCCGUUGUGAAAACUGGAGGCUUAACCUCCAGACGUCGAUGGAAACCGUAUGGCUAGAGUCCGGAAGAGGAGAGUGGAAUUCCUGGUGUAGCGGUGAAAUGCGCAGAUAUCAGGAAGAACACCAGUGGCGAAGGCGACUUACUGGACACAUAUUGACGCUGAGGUGCGAAAGCGUGGGGAGCAAACAGG
rnacentral:rRNA from 1 species